rnacentral:rRNA from 1 species
AUUGAACGCUAGCGGGAUGCUUUACACAUGCAGGUCGAACGGCAGCGCGGACUUCGGUCUGGCGGCGAGUGGCGAACGGGUGAGUAAUGUAUCGGAACGUGCCCAGUAGCGGGGGAUAACUACGCGAAAGCGUAGCUAAUACCGCAUACGCCCUACGGGGGAAAGCAGGGGAUCGUAAGACCUUGCACUAUUGGAGCGGCCGAUAUCGGAUUAGCUAGUUGGUGAGGUAACGGCUCACCAAGGCGACGAUCCGUAGCUGGUUUGAGAGGACGACCAGCCACACUGGGACUGAGACACGGCCCAGACUCCUACGGGAGGCAGCAGUGGGGAAUUUUGGACAAUGGGGGCAACCCUGAUCCAGCCAUCCCGCGUGUGCGAUGAAGGCCUUCGGGUUGUAAAGCACUUUUGGCAGGAAAGAAACGUCGCGGGCUAAUACCCCGUGGAACUGACGGUACCUGCAGAAUAAGCACCGGCUAACUACGUG